rnacentral:rRNA from 1 species
CCUACGGGGGGCAGCAGUGAGGAAUAUUGGUCAAUGGACGAGAGUCUGAACCAGCCAAGUAGCGUGAAGGAUGACUGCCCUAUGGGUUGUAAACUUCUUUUAUAAAGGAAUAAAACGAGGCACGUGUGCCUUUUUGCAUGUACUUUAUGAAUAAAGAUCGGCUAACUCCGUGCCAGCAGCCGCGGUAAUACGGAGGAUCCGAGCGUUAUCCGGAUUUAUUGGGUUUAAAGGGAGCGUAGAUGGGUUGUUAAGUCAGUUGUGAAAGUUUGCGGCUCAACCGUAAAAGUGCAAUUGAUACUGGCAGUCGUGAGUACAGUUGAGGUAGGCGGAAUUCGGGGUGUAGCGGUGAAAUGCUUAGAUAUCACGAAGAACCCCGAUUGCGAAGGCAGCUUACUAAACUGUGACUGACAUUGAUGCUCGAAAGUGUGGGUAUCAAACAGGAUUAGAUACCCCUGUAGUC